GAUGAACGCCGGCGGUGUGCCUAAUACAUGCAAGUCGUACGCACUGGCCCAACUGAUUGAUGGUGCUUGCACCUGAUUGACGAUGGAUCACCAGUGAGUGGCGGACGGGUGAGUAACACGUAGGUAACCUGCCCCGGAGCGGGGGAUAACAUUUGGAAACAGAUGCUAAUACCGCAUAACAACAAAAGCCACAUGGCUUUUGUUUGAAAGAUGGCUUUGGCUAUCACUCUGGGAUGGACCUGCGGUGCAUUAGCUAGUUGGUAAGGUAACGGCUUACCAAGGCGAUGAUGCAUAGCCGAGUUGAGAGACUGAUCGGCCACAAUGGAACUGAGACACGGUCCAUACUCCUACGGGAGGCAGCAGUAGGGAAUCUUCCACAAUGGGCGCAAGCCUGAUGGAGCAACACCGCGU
rnacentral:rRNA from 1 species